CGUCUGGUGAAUGGUUAGGCUCGGGCGCUGAUGAAGGGCGUGCCAAGCUGCGAUAUGCCUCGGGUAGGCGCAAGGAGCCUUUGAUCCGAGGAUUCCCGAAUAGGACAUCCUGCUACGGUAAACCCGUAGCGAUUGCAUCUGCAAUCGGGAACGCGGGGGAUUGAAGCAUCUUAGUACCCGCAGGAAAAGAAAGCAAAAGCGAUGCCGUAAGUAACGGCGAGUGAAAACGGCACAGGGCAAACCGAAUCCUUUGCCGAAAGGCAGGGGAGAUGUGGUGUUUGGACUCCGGUACUUCCAAAUGACGAACCUGAAGUUGGCUGGAAAGCCACACCAUAGAGGGUGAUAGUCCCGUAAGGGUAAAUCAGGAGGAAGAGUCUGGAUGUUCCAGAGUAGCGCGGGUUGGAUAUCUCGCGUGAAGGUGGGAGGCAUAAACUCCCAACCCUAAAUACGCCCCGAGACCGAUAGCGAACUAGUAGGGUGACCAAAAACUGAAAAGUACCCCGAAGAGGGAGGUGAAAAGAGCCUGAAACCAGGCGGUUACAGGCAUGCAGGGCGUGAAAGGCGUAAGCCAGCGUUCUGCUAUACGUUUCGAAAAAUGGGCCAGGGAGUUCUUUGUAAUGGCGAGGUUAAGGUGGCAACACCGUAACCGUAGCGAAAGCGAGUGCCCGCAGUCUUCGGACAAGGGGCAAGGUGUGCUCGCCUCAAGUCAUUGCGAAGAGACCCGAAACCGGUCGAUCUAUGCGUGGCCAGGUUGAAGCCUUCCGAAAGGGGGGUGGAGGACCGAUCCAGUGCUGAUGUGCAAAUCGCUUGGUUGAGCUGCGUAUAGGGGUGAAAGGCCAAUCUAGACCGGAGAUAGCUGGUUCCCCCCGAAACUUCCCUCAGGAAGUCCUCCGACGAGGUGGGUGGUGCGGUAGAGCACUGAUUGGGUGUUUAGGGGGCGAAAGCCCUCGGCAUCCUGUCAAACUCCGAAUGUGCCACCGCCGUAGACUCGGGGAGUUCGGUCAUCUGGCGUAAGGUUGAUGUCCGAAAGGGAAAGAACCCGGCCUCAUGUUAAGGUCCCUAAGUAUCGGCUAAGUGUGACCUAAAGGCAGUCCACAUCCUAAAACAGCCGGGAGGUAGGCUUAGAAGCAGCCAUCCUUUAAAGAGUGCGUAACAGCUCACCGGUCGAGGGUGUGGGCCCCGAAAAUGGACGGGACUCAAGCCGGUCACCGAUACAUGAGUACUCUGUCAAGAGUAAGUAGGGGGGCGCGGUGUAUGGACAGAAGCUGGGGUGUGAACUCCAGUGGACCGUGCACCGACGAGAAUCCUGGUGAAAGUAGCAGCAAAGUCGGGUGAGAAUCCCGACCGCCGAAGGGGCCAGGGUUCCACGGCAAUGUUCAUCAGCCGUGGGUUAGCCGAUCCUAAGGGCUACCCUAACUGGAGUAGCUCGAAUGGGAAGCAGGUUAAUAUUCCUGCGCCAUCACAGGUUGCCGUCCACGUGUGACGCAUCUGGAUAGGCCGAGUAGCGCCGUCGCGCUAUUCAAGCGUUGAAAUCCUUGGAGUGCCGUAAUGGCGAGAAGGGGAUGAAUGCGUGAUGAGGCUCCCAAUUGAGGGGGCUUUGGCUCAUUCCAGGUGCCCGUGAAAAGCAUGUGGAUAUGGCCUGUGGUGUUCGUACCGAGAACUGACACAGGUGCCCCUGGGUGAGAAGCCCAAGGCGUAUCGGAUUAAUCCAUCCGAGGGAAUUCGGCAAACUAGCCCCGUAACUUUGGGAGAAGGGGUGCCUGCUCCGCGAAAGAGCAGGUCGCAGUGACUAGGGGGCUCCGACUGUUUAAUAAAAACAUAGGCGGCAGCAAGCCCGAA
rnacentral:rRNA from 1 species